rnacentral:rRNA from 1 species
AGAGUUUGAUCCUGGCUCAGGAUGAACGCUAGCGACAGGCCUAACACAUGCAAGUCGAGGGGCAACAUGGUAUCAGCUUGCUGAUACCGAUGGCGACCGGCGCACGGGUGAGUAACGCGUAUGUAAUCUACCUGUAACAGAGGGAUAACCCGGAGAAAUCCGGACUAAUACCUCAUAGCACAUAUUAUUCGCAUGAAUUUUAUGUUAAAGAGACUCGGUUACAGAUGAACAUGCGUUCCAUUAGCUAGUUGGCGGGGUUACGGCCCACCAAGGCAACGAUGGAUAGGGGUUCUGAGAGGAAGGUCCCCCACACUGGUACUGAGACACGGACCAGACUCCUACGGGAGGCAGCAGUGAGGAAUAUUGGUCAAUGGGCGGAAGCCUGAACCAGCCAAGUCGCGUGGAGGAAGACGGCCCUACGGGUUGUAAACUCCUUUUACCUGGGAAUAACGGGCGCUACGUGUAGCGCUGUGCAAGUACCGGGAGAAUAAGCAUCGGCUAAUUCCGUGCCAGCAGCCGCGGUAAUACGGAAGAUGCGAGCGUUAUCCGGAUUUAUUGGGUUUAAAGGGUGCGUAGGCGGAAGAAUAAGUCAGCGGUGAAAUGCUUCAGCUCAACUGGAGAAUUGCCGAUGAAACUGUUUUUCUAGAGUAUAAAAGAGGUAUGCGGAAUGCGUGGUGUAGCGGUGAAAUGCAUAGAUAUCACGCAGAACCCCGAUUGCGAAGGCAGCAUACUGGGCUAUAACUGACGCUGAAGCACGAAAGCGUGGGUAUCGAACAGGAUUAGAUACCCUGGUAGUCCACGCCGUAAACGAUGAAUACUAACUGUUUGCGAUAUAAUGUAAGCGGUACAGCGAAAGCGUUAAGUAUUCCACCUGGGGAGUACGCCGGCAACGGUGAAACUCAAAGGAAU